rnacentral:rRNA from 1 species
CCCUUAGAUGUUCUGGGCCGCACGCGCGCUACACUGAUACAUGCAACGAGUUUAUAACCUUGAUCUGACGGUCUGGGUAAUCUUCAAACUGUAUCGUGUUAGGGAUCGAUUCUUGCAAUUUUUAAUCGUAAACGAGGAAUUCCUAGUAAACGCAAGUCGUCAGCUUGCAUUGAUUACGUCCCUGCCCUUUGUACACACCGCCCGUCGACUCUACCGAUUGAAUGGUUCGGUGAAAACUUUGGACUGUGGCAUUGUCCUUCAUUGGACUUCGCCGUAGGAAAUUGUUUAAACCUCAUCAUUUAGAGGAAGAAUAAGUCGUAACA